rnacentral:rRNA from 1 species
GAUGAACGCUAGCGGGAGGCCUAACACAUGCAAGCCGGGCGGUAGAGUCUCUUCGGAGUCUUGAGAGCGGCGCACGGGUGCGGAACACGUGUGCAACCUGCCUUUAUCUGGGGGAUAGCCUUUCGAAGGGAAGAUUAAUACCCCAUAAUAUACUGGAUGGCAUCAUCUGGUAUUGAAAACUCCGGUGGAUAGAGAUGGGCACGGGCAAGAUUAGAUAGUUGGUGAGGUAAGGGCUCACCAAGUCAGCGAUCUUUAGGGCGCCUGAGAGCGUGAUCCCCCACACUGGGACUGGGACACGGACCAUACUCCUGCGGGAAGCAGCAGUGAUGAAUAAAUGACAAGGGGUGUGAGCCUGAUCCAGCCAGCCCGCGUGAAGGACGACGGCCCUAUGAGUUGUAAACUUCUUUUGUAUAGGGAUAAACCUAGAUACGUGUAUCUAGCUGAAGGUACUAUACGAAUAAGCACCGGCUAACUCCGUG